UACGGGGGGGGCAAGCGUUGUUCGGAAUUACUGGGCGUAAAGGGCUCGUAGGUGGCCCACUAAGUCGGACGUGAAAUCCCUCGGCUUAACCGGGGAACUGCGUCCGAUACUGGUUGGCUUGAGUUUGGGAGAGGGAUGCGGAAUUCCAGGUGUAGCGGUGAAAUGCGUAGAUAUCUGGAGGAACACCGGUGGCGAAGGCGGGUCUCUGGGCCGAUACUGACGCUGAGGAGCGAAAGCGUGGGGAGCGAACAGG
rnacentral:rRNA from 1 species